rnacentral:rRNA from 1 species
GACGAACGCUGGCGGCGUGCCUAAUACAUGCAAGUCGAGCGAGCGGAACCAGCAGAUCUGCUUCGGCAGUGACGCUGGGAAAGCGAGCGGCGGAUGGGAGAGUAACGCGUGGGGAACCUGCCCCAAAGUCUGGGAUACCACUUGGAAACAGGUGCUAAUACCGGAUAAGAAAGCAGAUCGCAUGAUCAGCUUUUAAAAGGCGGCGUAAGCUGUCGCUAUGGGAUGGCCCCGCGGUGCAUUAGCUAGUUGGUAGAGUAACGGCCUACCAAGGCAAUGAUGCAUAGCCGAGUUGAGAGACUGAUCGGCCACAUUGGGACUGAGACACGGCCCAAACUCCUACGGGAGGCAGCAGUAGGGAAUCUUCCACAAUGGACGCAAGUCUGAUGGAGCAACGCCGCGUGAGUGAAGAAGGUUUUCGGAUCGUAAAGCUCUGUUGUUGGUGAAGAAGGAUAGAGGUAGUAACUGGCCUUUAUUUGACGUAAUCAACCAGAAAGUC